AACGAACGCUGGCGGUAUGCUUAACACAUGCAAGUCGAACGAGUAAGGGCUAGUUUACUAGUACCUGCUAGUGGCUAACGGGUGAGUAACGUGUAGGAGUCUACCUAACAGUAUGGAAUAGCCGUUGGAAACGACGAAUAAUACCAUAUAUACCCUACGGGGGAAAGAUUUAUCGCUGUUAGAUGAGCCUGCAUUAGAUUAGCUUGUUGGUGGGGUAAUGGCCCACCAAGGCUACGAUCUAUAGCUGGUCUGAGAGGAUGAUCAGCCACACUGGAACUGAGACACGGUCCAG
rnacentral:rRNA from 1 species